rnacentral:rRNA from 1 species
UACGUAGGGUGCAAGCGUUGUCCGGAAUUAUUGGGCGUAAAGAGCUCGUAGGCGGUUUGUCGCGUCUGCUGUGAAAACUCGGAGCUCAACUCCGAGCCUGCUUCCGAUACGGGCAGACUAGAGGUAGGCAGGGGGAGAGCGGAACUCCUGGUGUAGCGGUGGAAUGCGCAGAUAUCAGGAAGAACACCGGUGGCGGAAGGCGGCUCUCUGGGCCUUACCUGACGCUGAGACGCGAAAGCGUGGGGAGCAAACAGG